GAUGAAGAACGCAGCGAAAUGCGAUACGUAAUGUGAAUUGCAAAUUCAGUGAAUCAUCGAGUCUUUGAACGCACAUUGCGCCCCCUGGUAUUCCGGGGGGCAUGCCUGUCCGAGCGUCAUUGCUGCCCUCAAGCACGGCUUGUGUGUUGGGCCCCGUCCUCCGAUCCCGGGGGACGGGCCCGAAAGGCAGCGGCGGCACCGCGUCCGGUCCUCGAGCGUAUGGGGCUUUGUCACCCGCUCUGUAGGCCCGGCCGGCGCUUGCCGAUCAACCCAAAUUUUUAUCCAGGUUGACCUCGGAUCAGGUAGGGAUACCCGCUGAACUUAUGCAUAUCAAUAAGCGGAGGA
rnacentral:misc_RNA from 1 species